UUCAAACGCAUUCAAUCUUUCAGAUUCAAACUCGUUUUCACCCAGCUCGUUCCAAAUUCAAACUCGUUUUCACUCAUCUAGUUCCAGAUUCAAACUUCUUCACAACUGUUUGUUCAAUCACACUCAGAUUCAAACUCACGAGUUCCAGAUUCUUGGUUCCUUCUUCAUUCAGAUUCAAUCUUCUUCACAACUCGUUCUUUCAAUCUAAGCUUCAGAUUCAAACUCGUUUGUUCAAGAUCAAAACAAGAGGUCAUCAUUGGAUUGGGCUAUGCGUUAUGAAAUUAUUUGUGGGAUUGCUCGAGGUGUUUUAUAUAUUCAUCAAGAUUCGAGGCUGAAAAUAAUUCAUAGAGAUAUAAAAGCCAGCAACGUUCUCCUUGAUGCUGCAAUGAAUCCCAAAAUAUCAGAUUUUGGUAUGGCUAGAAUAUUUGGAGAAGAUGAAAUCCAAGCAAGAACAAAAAGAGUGGUUGGGACAUAGUAGGUGUCGUACGCUUAUAACUAUUUGGUAUAAAUGCAGUGGGUAUAUGGCACCAGAAUAUGCAAUGGAAGGACGAUAUUCAACGAAAUCUGAUGUCUUCAGUUAUGGUGUCUUACAACUGGAGAUUGUUGCUGGCAAAAGAAAUACACAUUGUGAAACAGGAAGAGCUUCCCCAAAUUUAAUUGGACAUGUGUGGACCCUGUGUACUAAACCAGUCUUAUUCUCCUGCUAUGGUUCUGAGAUGCAUUCAAAUUGGACUUUUGUGUGUGCAAGAAAAUGCCAUGAAUAGACCAACAAUGUCAGAAGUUGUAUUCAUGCUAUGCAAUGAAACACCUCUUUGCCAACCUCAAAAACCAGCAUUUUUAUUCAACGGCAACCAAGAUUUGCAAGAGUCAUCAAC